rnacentral:snoRNA from 1 species
AUGAAUUAAUUUAAAAGGAUCUGUUCUAUAGGCUCGUACCACUGUAUCCUUGAGUUUUAAGGAGACAGAAAACCAAGUCUGGUUGAUGAGACAUGGCCAUUAGACCAGAGCGUGAUUAACAGUAGACACGACCCUCGGGUUAUGGUGCCGUAGAUGAUCGUUCUCAACCCCUAACCAUGGGUAUUGGGAUGGUCUAAUGGCUGUUUGACAAACU